rnacentral:rRNA from 1 species
AUUGAACGCUGGCGGCAGGCCUAACACAUGCAAGUCGGGCGCGCGGCGGACGGGUGAGUAAUGUAUGGGAACCUGCCUGAUGGCGGGGGUUAACUACUGGAAACGGUAGCUAAUACCGCAUACCAUCAGAUGAACCAAGAUGGGAUUAGCUAGUAGGUAAGGUAACGGCUUACCUAGGCGAAGAUCCCUAGCUGGUCUGAGAGGAUGAACAGCCACACUGGGACUGAGACACGGCCCAGACUCCUACGGGAGGCAACAGUGGGGAAUAUUGCACAAUGGGCGCAAGCCUGAUGCAGCCAUGCCGCGUGUAUGAAGAAGGCCUUCGGGUUGUAAAGUACUUUCAGUCGGGAGGCGUUACCGACAGAAGAAGCACCGGCUAACUCCGUGCCAGCAGCCGCGGUAAUAC